rnacentral:rRNA from 1 species
ACGGGGUGCAGCAGGCGCGAAAACUUUACAAUGCGGGCAACCGCGAUAAGGGGACCUCGAGUGCUGGGUUACAAACCUGGCUGUUGGGCUGCCUAAAAAGCAGUCUAUAGCAAGGGCCGGGCAAGACCGGUGCCAGCCGCCGCGGUAACACCGGCGGCUCGAGUGGUAACCGCUAUUAUUGGGUCUAAAGGGUCUGUAGCCGGCCGACUAAGUCUCUUGGGAAAUCUGGCAUCUCAAGUGUCAGGCUGCCAGGGGAUACUGGUCGGCUUGGGACCGGGAGAGGUGAGAGGUACCUCGGGGGUAGGGGUGAAAUCUUGUAAUCCUCGAGGGACCACCAGUGGCGAAGGCGUCUCACCAGAACGGAUCCGACGGCAAGGGACGAAAGCUAGGGGCACGAA